rnacentral:rRNA from 1 species
UACGGAGGGGGCUAGCGUUGUUCGGAAUUACUGGGCGUAAAGCGCGCGUAGGCGGCUUUGUAAGUUAGAGGUGAAAGCCCGGAGCUCAACUCCGGAACUGCCUUUAAGACUGCAUCGCUAGAAUUGUGGAGAGGUAAGUGGAAUUCCGAGUGUAGAGGUGAAAUUCGUAGAUAUUCGGAAGAACACCGGUGGCGAAGGCGGCCUUCUGGACAGUGACUGACGCUGAGACGCGAAAGCGUGGGGAGCAAACAGG